rnacentral:ncRNA from 2 species
UAAAAGUGAAAUGUUGCAAGUUCAAGGGAAGAAAGGGUGGGAUUCCCUCGCUGUACCCGCAGCCGUAUUAAGGCAAAAAGCUUAAGAAACAGCCACUGCCUCUUUGGUGGGAAGGCCUUAAGCCACAAGCCUUUAAGCCGGAAGACCUACUUGCAGCAAAAGUAUCUU